UGUAGACAUACAUGCAGACAGAACA
rnacentral:piRNA from 1 species